GGUCCGGGAAGAGCAAUGGAGGUAAGCAACCCUGCUCAAGGACACAAAUACUGCUGACCGUUUGGUAUCCAGGUCGUGCUGUGCACAUGGGACGCUUUUCCCCAUCAGCCUUCCACUCUCGUACCUUUGAAUUACAGAAUUGGACUAAUUUAAAGACUG